rnacentral:rRNA from 1 species
UACGUAGGGUGCAAGCGUUGUUCGGAAUCACUGGGCGUAAAGGGUGCGUAGGCGGGUCUUUAAGUCAGGGGUGAAAUCCUGGAGCUCAACUCCAGAACUGCCUUUGAUACUGAGGAUCUUGAGUUCGGGAGAGGUGAGUGGAACUGCGAGUGUAGAGGUGAAAUUCGUAGAUAUUCGCAAGAACACCAGUGGCGAAGGCGGCUCACUGGCCCGAUACUGACGCUGAGGCACGAAAGCGUGGGGAGCAAACAGG